GCAUGUCUUAUCAAAGUCAUGGAAGCUGAACUAAUUAAAAUAACCACGAUAAUUACUCAAUCAGUAGUGGUAAAUCGCAUUUCUAGCCCUUAGAAUUUAGCGUACGCUGCUAACUAACUGCGCUUGUUGUUAGAACAGAUGGUUUGAGAGGAAGUUCUGUGCGCAUGCGCUGUGCGCCUGCAUAGAGCUGAAGCGCAGACAGCGCUAUGAGAGACAAGAGAGAGAAAAACACCCCUUAUCUGUAGAGAAAGGCUGAAAAAAGUUCACUCGUUUCGCACAAAAUUCCUUCUACGACUCACUCAGGUCACAUAUCGUACCGUGUUUCUAUGUCUGUGAUGCGGAGUGUCUGAGAGGGUUCAUUGAGUCUCUGCUGAGAGUGGCAUCCCACAGAACUGCCCUCAUCUGCCAAGCUCUCCACUCUAAAAGGCUCGCAAAACUCCCACAAGUGAGAUUCAGCAUUCUUACUGAGGAUGGCUUGUUUUGAGGCUGAGGUCAGUAUGCACUGUUAGUCAUUGUUUCCAGUCACUCUGACGGCUGUGUCUCUGAGCUUGAGCCCAGGGAUGACAUGGAAACACAACCUGCUGAUCUCUGAACACAAGGCCGAGCAGUGAGCUAAAUCAGGGACGUGGAAGGGUGAAAGCAGGCCAUGUCACGGGUUCCCACACCCCCUCCCCCAGGGGAAAUGACAUCAGGACCUGUGGCGGAAAGCUGGUGUUAUACACAGGUGAAAGUUGUGAAGUUUUCUUACAUGUGGACGAUUAACAACUUCAGCUUCUGUCGGGAGGAGAUGGGAGAAGUCGUAAGGAGCUCGACCUUCUCCUCAGGCCCCAACGACAAGAUGAAA